ACUUGAGUCUCUUCCUUUUCGUUCUUCCUUCGUCGUCUUUGCUAGAGAAUCGAUAAGUCAAUUUU
rnacentral:sRNA from 1 species